rnacentral:rRNA from 1 species
AUUGAACGCUGGCGGCAUGCUUUACACAUGCAAGUCGAACGGUAACAGGCCGCAAGGUGCUGACGAGUGGCGAACGGGUGAGUAAUGCAUCGGAACGUGCCCAGUCGUGGGGGAUAACGCAGCGAAAGCUGUGCUAAUACCGCAUACGAUCUAUGGAUGAAAGCGGGGGACCGUAAGGCCUCGCGAGAUUGGAGCGGCCGAUGUCAGAUUAGCUAGGUGGUGGGGUAAAGGCCCACCAAGGCGACGAUCUGUAGCUGGUUUGAGAGGACGACCAGCCACACUGGGACUGAGACACGGACCAGACUCCUACGGGAGGCAGCAGUGGGGAAUUUUGGACAAUGGGCGCAAGCCUGAUCCAGCAAUGCCGCGUGCAGGAAGAAGGCCUUCGGGUUGUAAACUGCUUUUGUACGGAACGAAACGGUCUGGGUUAAUACCCUGGGCUAAUGACGGUACCGUAAGAAUAAGCACCGGCUAACUACGUGCCAGCCGCCGCAGUAACAC